AUAACCCCCACCACCACCCCCUUCGCCCCCCCCUUCAAACAAAAAGCAAACUUGUCUUAUCCACACUCUCCAUAACGAUUUCACAUUUCAUGUCACGUUAAGUUGGCUUGAAGCUUUGCGUGCUAACUUUCCAGUAACGCACACAAACCGUUCGAUAAAAUCACCAAGCCAAACCAUCUCCUGAAUAACUCUAUAAUUUCUUGCUAUUUCACUCUCACGCUUAAAGAAUACCAUUAUUACGCAUAACCAAUUGAUUUUUACGAAAAUUUACCAUCAUGAACAUGUAAGAUUUCCCCUUUUUUAGGAAAACAAAAGGCCUGAAAGGGAUUGUGUUAUUCAAAACGAUGCUUUUGAGCGACCAGAGGCCAAAUUAUUGGCUUUAGUUAGUGUGAUUGGUGUUUUUUGUUCAUUUAAUUGUCAAAAUUAAAAGAAUUUUCUCGUGUAUUUCUUGUUAAAUGUGGUUUCGAGCUUGAAGUUCAGGUCUUGACUGUUUUGCUUGUUUUUUUUUUUUAUUAUUUUUAUAAGAGGGAUUCUUGUAUAUUAUUUGAUCAAGUAGAACAGAAAUAUGAUGUUGUGUUGUGGAGUGCUAUGGCUUCGAGUUUUGUCAAGAAUGGGAAGUAUAAGGAUGGUAUUUAUUUGUUUAGGAGAAAUGCAGAGUUAAAGUUUGUAGGCUACUGGUGCUUGAGAUGAUCUUAGUGAGUUGUUGAGGAAAAGAGAUUCGUAGGUUGUUGAUAUAGAAUGUCUUUCUCAAAUGUACGAUAUGUUCAUUGUGUAUGCAAAAUGUGGGGAAUUGGAGGGCUGGAUUUGGGUUUUUAUGGGAGGUUGGAAGAAGGAUUUGAUUUCUUGGAAGACAGUAGAUUCUUGGCUGUGCUGAGAAUGAGUUUUGAGACAGUAGAUUUGGGUUUUUAUGGGAGGUUGGAAGAAGGAUUUGAUUUCUUGGAAGACGGUAGAUUCUUGGCUGUGCUGAGAAUGAGUUUUGAGAAUGGAAGUUCACCAAUUAAGGGAUAUGGGUUAGAUUGAUGAGGACUUGAGGGCCUUGAAGCAUGUUGGAUUGUGGGGUAAAGCUCAAUGAUGUUGUUUCUCUCUCUUUUCAAUCUGCCCUUCGUCCAUGUGGGCUAGAAUGUAAGGGUCAUGACUUGUUUAUUUCAUUUAAGAAAAAUUAUGGUCGUACUCCAAAACUUGCACAUUAUGCUUGCAUGAUGGAUCUGCUAAUUUGGCAAGGAAAUGUUGAGGAAGCUCUUGAAUUUGAAACAAAAUGCCAGUGGAGCCUUUAAAAGAAUCUGGGAUCUCCUCUUGCCAUUUGUAGAUCUAGAAGUUGUGGUUCAAUGUUGUGGCAGAAUUUGUGGGAAAAUGGCUUAGUGCCUUGGACCCGGAAAAUACCAUUUAUCCUGAGAUUUUGUUAGACUUGUAUGCGAAGGAGGUAGAUGGGACUAUGCGGUGAGGCUCAAAAUGUUGGCAGAUGGCAAAAGAUUAAUGUAGAGAGCAGAAUGCAGAUAAAUGAUUGUCCACACAAGAAUUUCCAAUUCAUUAAUAUCAACAGAAUUUACCUAUGAAGCAUAAUAAAAGAGGGGAUUAGUAGAGGAACAAAGGAGAGAUUAAGGAUUGGACUCCAAUUCAUUGCUAAUAAAGAAGUACUCCCAGAGAGGACUUUCCAUUGUAAAUCUCUGGAAAUUUUCAUGGUGGAGGUUCUGGCUUUAUCAUAUUCAGAGAAAUACUAAAAAUAAUACAGGAAGAUUAGAAGUAUAUUAAUUUGAUCAUAAUCUUGAAUCAUAGUCCAAGGAAAAGCUUCCUCACGAAAUCAAGAUGGAUUGAGC